rnacentral:rRNA from 1 species
AUUGAACGCUGGCGGCAUGCCUUACACAUGCAAGUCGAACGGCAGCACGGGAGCAAUCCUGGUGGCGAGUGGCGAACGGGUGAGUAAUAUAUCGGAACGUGCCCAGUCGUGGGGGAUAACGCAGCGAAAGCUGUGCUAAUACCGCAUACGAUCUAUGGAUGAAAGCGGGGGACCGCAAGGCCUCGCGCGAUUGGAGCGGCCGAUAUCAGAUUAGCUAGUUGGUGGGGUAAAGGCCCACCAAGGCGACGAUCUGUAGCUGGUCUGAGAGGACGACCAGCCAGACUGGAACUGAGACACGGUCCAGACUCCUACGGGAGGCAGCAGUGGGGAAUUUUGGACAAUGGGCGAAAGCCUGAUCCAGCAAUGCCGCGUGCAGGAUGAAGGCCUUCGGGUUGUAAACUGCUUUUGUACGGAACGAAACGGUGAGCUUUAAUACAGUUUGCUAAUGACGGUACCGUAAGAAUAAGCACCGGCUAACUACGUGCCAGCAGCCGCAGUAA